rnacentral:rRNA from 1 species
CCUACGGGGGGCAGCAGUGGGGAAUAUUGGGCAAUGGGCGCAAGCCUGACCCAGCAACGCCGCGUGAAGGAAGAAGGCUUUCGGGUUGUAAACUCCUUUUCUCAGGGACGAAGCAAGUGAUGGUACUUGAGGAAUAAGCCACGGCUAACUACGUGCCAGGAGCCGCGGUAAUACGUGGGGGGCAAGCGGUAUCCGGAUUUACUGGGUGUAAAGGGCGGGUAGGCGGGACUGCAAGUCGGAUGUGAAAACCACGGGCUCAACCUGUGGCCUGCAUUUGAAACUGUAGGUCUUGAGUACUGGAGAGGCAGACGGAAUACCUAGUGUAGCGGUGAAAUGCGUAGAUAUUAGGAGGAACACCAGUGGCGAAGGCGGUCUGCUGGACAGCAACUGACGCUGAGGCGCGAAAGCGUGGGGAGCAAACAGGAUUAGAUACCCUUGUAGUC